ACUGGAGUCAGUUGGCUGCUGUGAGGACAAGGAAGAGUCAGUGCUUAGAGGAGCUGCCUACAAGAAAUAUCAAGGAGCUUCCUUUAGCUCUUCUGCCAAGGUGAGGUGGGACUGCAGAGAUUUGCUGAUGGCUCUGGCCUGGCAGCAGGAGCAUGGACCAACCUGUGCUGCUUGGCAGUCAGUCCUGCAGCAGCUCUGUGAGAAGUCAUGGCAAACAUCCUUGUGGGACUUCCCUGCCCUGACAAACCCACCUGCACACACAGCUCCCCCAGCUUCCCCUCCCAGAUGGGUUUUAUAACCUUCCUGUAAAACCAGCCCUGAGGAGGGCUUACACAGAGCCAAGGCCUUUUCUGCUUUUCCUGCUGCCGUGCUGGUGAGGACCUUGGUGAUGCAUGGGAGAUUGGGAGGAGAAACAGCUGGAACAGGUGACCCCAACUGACCAAAGGAAUACUCCAGACCAUUUGAUAUCAUGGUCAGGAUAUAAGGUGGGAAGAAGGAGAAAAGGGGGAAUGUUUGGAGUGAUGGUGUUUGUCUUCCCAAGUAACCGUUAAGUGAUGGGGCCCUGCUCUCCUGGAGAUUGCUGAACACCUGCCUGCCCAUGGGAAGCAGUGAAUUAAUCCCUUGUUUUAUUUUACUUGUGGGUGUGUCUUUUCCUGUUUAACUGUAUUUAUCUCAAUCCACAAGUCUCCUAUCUUUUACUCUUCUGAUUCUGCCCUGGAUCUCCCUGGUGGGGCCAUAAGCAAGCAGCUGCCUGGGCUUUGGCUGUUGGCUGGGGCUAAACUUUGACAUUACUACAGACUCACAGAAAAAACCAAGCAUUUGUUCUUCCUCUCCAUAAAUUUAGAAGAAUAAUAGGUGGGGAACAGGAUGCAUACAAACGUGUAUGUAUGCAAAUGUGAACACACACCUGUUCUUAAAAAUUUUUUCCAUCAAAUACAUCAAAAAUGUAGCCCAAAUAUGGAGCAGCUGAAAUAAAAUAAAAGGUCUAUUGCAUAAGGUCACAUAUUAGAAUUCAGUCAGACUGAACCAGCAAUAAGAUGAAAGUAAAAGAAUAAAUAAGUAUCAAUUCUCCUCUCAUUUUUUCUCCUACUUAAUAUAGACUGCAAUUGUAUCUAAAGUGUCCAACCUACUCUUGAAAAUUGAAGUAGGAGAAUACUUUUGAUUGUGGUGUGAAAUAAAGCAUAGCACUUCAAA